AGAGUUUGAUCCUGGCUCAGAACGAACGCUGGCGGCAGGCCUAACACAUGCAAGUCGAGCGCCCGCAAGGGAGCGGCAGACGGGUGAGUAACGCGUGGGAACGUGCCCUUUGGUUCGGAAUAUUCCCGGGAAACUGGGAGCAAAACCGGAUAAGCCCUUCGGGGGAAAGUUUACGCCAAAGGAUCGGCCCGCGUUAGAUUAGGUAGUUGGUGGGGUAACGGCCUACCAAGCCUACGAUCUAUAGCUGAUCUGAGAGGAUGAUCAGCCACACUGGGACUGAGACACGGCCCAGACUCCUACGGGAGGCAGCAGUGGGGAAUCUUGGACAAUGGGCGCAAGCCUGAUCCAGCCAUGCCGCGUGGAUGACUGAAGGCCCUAGGGUUGUAAAGUCCUUUCGUCGGGGACGAUAAUGACGGUACCCGUAGAAGAAGCCCCGGCUAACUUCGUGCCAGCAGCCGCGGUAAUACGAAGGGGGCUAGCGUUGUUCGGAUUUACUGGGCGUAAAGGGCGCGUAGGCGGAUUUUUAAGUCGGGGGUGAAAUCCCGGAGCUCAACUCCGGAACUGCCUUCGAUACUGGAAGUCUGGAGCACGGUAGAGGUGAGUGGAAUUCCGAGUGUAGCGGUGAAAUGCGU
rnacentral:rRNA from 1 species